AGACCAGUAGGUACCCGUACCGCAAACCGACACAGGUAGGCGAGGAGAGAAUCCUAAGACGAGCGGGAGAAGCAUUGUUAAGGAACUCGGCAAAAUGACUCCGUAACUUCGGGAUAAGGAGUGCCUAGUAAAAUAGGUCGCAGUGAAUAGGCCCAAGCGACUGUUUAGCAAAAACACAGGUCUGUGCGAAAUCGAGAGAUGAAGUAUACGGGCUGACGCCUGCCCAGUGCUGGAAGGUUAAGGGGAACUGUUAGCGUAAGGCGAAGCAGGGAACUUAAGCCCCAGUGAACGGCGGCCGUAACUAUAACGGUCCUAAGGUAGCGAAAUUCCUUGUCGGGUAAGUUCCGACCCGCACGAAUGGCGUAACGACUUGGGCACUGUCUCAACAAUGUACCCGGCGAAAUUGUAGUAUGAGUGAAGAUGCUCAUUACCCGCGAUAGGACGGAAAGACCCCGUAGAGCUUUACUGCAACUUGGCAUUGGAUUUUGGUAUUGGAUGUACAGGAUAGGUGGGAGACUGAGAAGCGUUGACGCCAGUUGACGCAGAGUCACUGUUGGGAUACCACCCUUCCAAUACUAGGGUUCUAACCCGAGGCCGUGAACCGGCUCGGGGACAGUACCAGGUGGGCAGUUUGACUGGGGCGGUCGCCUCCGAAAGAGUAACGGAGGCGCCCAAAGGUUUCCUCAGAAUGGUCGGAAAUCAUUCAUUAGAGUGCAAAUGCAUAAGGGAGCUUGACUGCGAGAGAGACAUCUCGAGCAGGGACGAAAGUCGGGAUUAGUGAUCCGGCGGUAUGAGAGUGGAAUUGCCGUCGCUCAACGGAUAAAAGCUACCUCGGGGAUAACAGGCUUAUCUCCCCCAAGAGUCCACAUCGACGGGGAGGUUUGGCACCUCGAUGUCGGCUCGUCGCAUCCUGGGGCUGAAGCAGGUCCCAAGGGUUUGGCUGUUCGCCAAUUAAAGCGGCACGCGAGCUGGGUUCAGAACGUCGUGAGACAGUUCGGUCCCUAUCCAUCGUGGGCGCAGGAAGUUUGAGUGGAGCUGUCCUUAGUACGAGAGGACCGGGAUGGACGUACCAAUGGUGUACCAGUUGUUCUGCCAAGAGCAUCGCUGGGUAGCUAUGUACGGACGGGAUAAACGCUGAAGGCAUCUAAGCGUGAAGCCCCCCACAAGAUAAGACUUCCCAUCCUUUAUGGAGUAAGGCCCCUUGUAGACUACAAGGUUGAUAGGCUGGAGGUGUAAGUGCAGCAAUGUAUUAAGCUGACCAGUACUAAUAGGCCGAGGGCUUGAUCAA
rnacentral:rRNA from 1 species